rnacentral:rRNA from 1 species
UACGAGGGGGGCAAGCGUUGUUCGGAAUUAUUGGGCGUAAAGGGCGCGUAGGCGGUGCGGUAAGUCACCUGUGAAAACUCUGGGCUCAACUCAGAGCCUGCAGGCGAAACUGCCGUGCUUGAGUGUGGGAGAGGUGCGUGGAAUUCCCGGUGUAGCGGUGAAAUGCGUAGAUAUCGAGAGGAACACCUGCGGCGAAGGCGGGUUGCUGGGCUGACACUGACGCUGAGGCGCGAAAGCUAGGGGAGCGAACGGG